CUUCCACCAUUUAUUAGUUCACCAAAUACAGUGAAAAUGGUAUUUUAAUAUGCAAUGAUUCAUUCUUAGAAUGUCAUGACAUUUUUGUUGCUUUUUUUGCUUAAUAAAAUGAUGCUCCAUUAUUGAAAAGUAUUAAGGUUUCAUGCACAACAAACCGUAGUCAGUUUCUUUAGAAUAAUGGUACAAAAAAUUCAAAUCAAAUCAACAAAAGAAACGUAAUGUCCAAAAACAUGUCAAAUAACAAGAAGUUAUUUGAAGAUAUUCGUAAACAGUGCAGUAGAUUUCUAAUAUCGCCAUUUUUCUAACAAAUUCAUCAACAAAGCUCAAAUCACAGUUUACGAUUUCCAUAUAACAGUAGUUCAACACAGAUGUGUGUGUGCAAAAAACCAGAGAAACAUUCAUUCAUCAAGUCUUUUUUUUUAAAGAACUGAACCAAACUGAAUUAUACUCUCGUCCCUGUCUAAAGAUUGUUCUCUGAAAUAUAAACAUCAUUGUUGAUGAAUCUUUAAGACGACAUACUAGCAUAUCAUUUUAAAUAACAAAUAUUUAGAUAUAAAAAUACAAAUAUGAAGCGUGCCAGGGUAAGAUUCAUGGUGGCACCUCUGUUGGCACCGGAGUGAAAGUUCAUGCAAAGAGAUGGACACGACAAAAGAAAUGUGAGGAGCUGAUGAAUUUUUUUUUUUAAUUUAUCAAAUUAGGCUUGGAAGAAAUCAAGAUGCAUUCAUGUUGGGUUAAUUACAAGAGGUGGUAAUGCACAAUGUUCCUCUGUGCUUGUACUGAUGAUGUGAAUCCGUGGCGCAGGUGCGCAAAUCAGCUGCAGUUCAAGGGCAAAACAAUAGAUCACCAGACGACGCUUCAACACCUGUGGGCAUGUGUAUGAUAAUAUUCUCAAUUUCUGAAAAAAGAAUAUGAUGCAAAAUAGCGAAAGAAAAUAUUCACAUUGCACCACAUAGUUCAUUUAUCAUUAUGGAGCUCAAUGUCUUUGCGUGUGAAGUCUAAAAUGUCUCUAAAAGCAGCAGUCGGAUUGAAGUCGACGCUCAAGGCAGAUCCACAUAUGUGAGAGCGAGCGAGAGAGAGAGAGAGAGAGAGAGAGAGCGCAGCUGAGUGAGUGUAGGACUACAUCAGCGGUCGGGUGAAGUCUGCU